rnacentral:misc_RNA from 1 species
GAUGAAGAACGCAGCGAAAUGCGAUAAGUAAUGUGAAUUGCAGAAUUCAGUGAAUCAUCGAAUCUUUGAACGCACAUUGCGCCCCCUGGUAUUCCGGGGGGCAUGCCUGUCCGAGCGUCAUUACAACCCUCAAGCUCAGCUUGGUGUUGGGCCCCGCCGCCCCGGCGGGCCCUAAAGUCAGUGGCGGUGCCGUCCGGCUCCGAGCGUAGUAAUUCUUCUCGCUCUGGAGGUCCGGUCGUGUGCUCGCCAGCAACCCCCAAUUUUUUUCAGGUUGACCUCGGAUCAGGUAGGGAUUCCCGCUGAACUUAAGCAUAUCAAUAAGCGGAGGA